rnacentral:rRNA from 1 species
AACCUUUACACUGCACGACAGUGCGAUAAGGGAAUCCCAAGUGCGUAGGCAUAGAGCCUACGCUUUUGUCCACCGUAGGGAGGUGGACGAAUAAGGGCUGGGCAAGACCGGUGCCAGCCGCCGCGGUAAUACCGGCAGCCCGAGUGAUGGCCGAUCUUAUUGGGCCUAAAGCGUCCGUAGCUGGCCGCACAAGUCCAUCGGAAAAUCCACCCGCUCAACGGGUGGGCGUCCGGUGGAAACUGUGUGGCUUGGGACCGGAAGGCGCGACGGGUACGUCCGGGGUAGGAGUGAAAUCCCGUAAUCCUGGACGGACCACCGAUGGCGAAAGCACCUCGAGAGCACGGAUCCGACAGUGAGGAACGAAAGCUGGGGUCUCGAACCGGAUUAGAUACCCGGGUAGUCCCAGCUAUCAACGAUGCCCGCUAGGUAUGGCGCAGGCUACGAGCCUGUGCUAUGCCGUAGCGAAGGCGCUAAGCGGGCCGCCUGGGAAGUACGUUCGCAAGAAUGAAACUUAA